CCUACGGGAGGCAGCAGUGAGGAAUAUUGGUCAAUGGACGAGAGUCUGAACCAGCCAAGUAGCGUGAAGGAUGACUGCCCUAUGGGUUGUAAACUUCUUUUAUAUGGGAAUAAAAUGUUCCACGUGUGGGAUUUUGUAUGUACCAUAUGAAUAAGGAUCGGCUAACUCCGUGCCAGCAGCCGCGGUAAUACGGAGGAUCCGAGCGUUAUCCGGAUUUAUUGGGUUUAAAGGGAGCGUAGGUGGAUUGUUAAGUCAGUUGUGAAAGUUUGCGGCUCAACCGUAAAAUUGCAGUUGAAACUGGCAGUCUUGAGUAUAGUAGAGGGGGGCAGAAUUCGUGGUGUAGCGGUGAAAUGCUUAGAGAUCACGAAGAACUCCGAUUGCGAAGGCAGCUCACUGGACUGAAACUGACACUGAGGCUCGAAAGUGUGGGGAUCAAACAGGAUUAGAUACCCGGGUAGUC
rnacentral:rRNA from 1 species